rnacentral:rRNA from 1 species
CGCGGCCUAUCAGCUUGUUGGUGAGGUAAUGGCUUACCAAGGCGACGACGGGUAGCCGGCCUGAGAGGGUGACCGGCCACACUGGGACUGAGACACGGCCCAGACUCCUACGGGAGGCAGCAGUGGGGAAUAUUGCACAAUGGGCGAAAGCCUGAUGCAGCGACGCCGCGUGAGGGAUGACGGCCUUCGGGUUGUAAACCUCUUUCAGUAGGGAAGAAGCGAAAGUGACGGUACCUGCAGAAGAAGCGCCGGCUAACUACGUGCCAGCAGCCGCGGUAAUACGUAGGGCGCAAGCGUUAUCCGGAAUUAUUGGGCGUAAAGAGCUCGUAGGCGGUUUGUCGCGUCUGCCGUGAAAGUCCGGGGCUCAACUCCGGAUCUGCGGUGGGUACGGGCAGACUAGAGUGAUGUAGGGGAGACUGGAAUUCCUGGUGUAGCGGUGAAAUGCGCAGAUAUCAGGAGGAACACCGAUGGCGAAGGCAGGUCUCUGGGCAUUAACUGACGCUGAGGAGCGAAAGCAUGGGGAGCGAACAGGAUUAGAUACCCUGGUAGUCCAUGCCGUAAACGUUGGGCACUAGGUGUGGGGGACAUUCCACGUUUUCCGUACCGCAGCUAACGCAUUAAGCGCCCCGCCUGGGGAGUACGG